GUUCCCCCUCCUCUUCCUCAACCACCCUUCCUCCUGGUUACUCCUCUCCUCCUCUCCCCUUGUUGUGGUCUACUGUUCUAUCUUUCUGUGUUCUGGUUGUACUGGUUCUUCUGGUUCUACUGGUGAGACGAUGCCUCCACAGGAAACCUAAAGAGAGUGAUCCAGCUGCAGUCUACUCAACAGUGAGAGGAACAGGAGACGUCAGUUAUGGACAAAUAGUCAUCAAAGACAUCAAAUCAAACAGGACGAGAGAGAGUGAUCCAGCUGCAGUCUACUCAGCAGUGAGAGGAACAGGAGACGUCAGUUAUGGACAAAUAGCCGUGAGACCACAAAGGACGAGAGAGUUUCCAGCAGAGCCAGAGGUCGUCUACUCUUCACUGAGGUAGACCUUCACACCUUCACACCAGUCCAACCACUGAUGUCCAGCUGGCCUGGAACUGGUCCCCAGAGCCCCUCACACCUCAGCACAUCCACUUAUUAUGUUUCACUGUUAAAGCUACAAAGAGACAAACAGGUCAGAUUUAGUGAAUGAUUCAAACAUUUGUGUUUUUCACUGAAAUAUCAGUGAUGAACAAAAGAUAAAAUAAAUUGUUAAAAUACUUAUUUUAAAGGUGGCGAUUGUUGUGAAUUGCAACUGGUAACUGUGUAUUCAAGUGCUCCUCAGAUGUCCCCUUUUCUAUUAAUUCUUAUGGCAGAAUUCCACUUAUGGCCGGCUACUUGAAAUAGAUAGCUAUACCGCGACAUGCAUGCAGUUGCCGGAAUCACGGCAUGCAAGCAAAACUGUGGACAAGACCUGUAAAUCCUUAGUCGGGGACAGCCCAACUACAUUCCAGCUAUCGUUGUGCUUUACUAUAAAACAAGUUAGCACAGCCCUGAUCGAGCUGAACUCCAUUUAGAAAACAAGCAUUUGUUUGCAAGUAGUUUGCUUGGCAUCUUGUGAGAAGACCUGAUGAAGCAUGAAUUCAUAUGUUUUACUUUUUUUCCCGAUUAUGCCGACACCACAUGAACGCACCAUCAGUCAGCGCUCACCCCUCUCUUUCCAAGCUCACAGGAGAAGCUUCGGUGGUCGAAACGCUCUGUUGGCUUGUGUUAAAUAUUAUGUGUGGUCGUCUAUUUGUCCAAAUUUCUCUUCUCUUCUUACUUCUAAUAAACCAGACGACGACUACUGUUAAUCCAACUUACUUCUUCUUCUUCUUCAGCAUAGAGACGAAACACACUGUAGAGCAGUUUGUCUGUUUUGGGCGACUGUAGAAACAUGGCGGUGCAACAUGGUGACUUACAUGUAAGAGGACCUGCGGUGUAGGUAGAUAGAAAUGUUUCAUUCUAAGGUAAUAAAAACAUAGCGGUUUAUUAUGUAAGGUCUUUAUACACCCCUGAAAACAUAGUUAUGGAAAUUCUAUUAUAUUUCUGUCAAUAGAUCCUCAGAAAUUUUACAUACUGAAGGUUUAAAGCCCUGUAAGUGUUUCAGAACCAACAUGUUUCAUUAUAAUUUCAUUCAUAUAAUUAUAUUAAACAGAAUCUAUUGAUAACUUUAA